GAUGAACGCUGGCGGCGUGCCUAAUACAUGCAAGUCGAGCGAACAGACGAGGAGCUUGCUCCUCUGACGUUAGCGGCGGACGGGUGAGUAACACGUGGAUAACCUACCUAUAAGACUGGGAUAACUUCGGGAAACCGGAGCUAAUACCGGAUAAUAUAUUGAACCGCAUGGUUCAAUAGUGAAAGACGGUUUUGCUGUCACUUAUAGAUGGAUCCGCGCCGCAUUAGCUAGUUGGUAAGGUAACGGCUUACCAAGGCAACGAUGCGUAGCCGACCUGAGAGGGUGAUCGGCCACACUGGAACUGAGACACGGUCCAGACUCCUACGGGGGGCAGCAGUAGGGAAUCUUCCGCAAUGGGCGAAAGCCUGACGGAGCAACGCCGCGUGAGUGAUGAAGGUCUUCGGAUCGUUAAACUCUGUUAUUAGGGAAGAACAAAUGUGUAAGUAACUAUGCACGUCUUGACGGUACCUAAUCAGAAAGCCACGGCUAACUACGUG
rnacentral:rRNA from 1 species